rnacentral:misc_RNA from 1 species
ACACACACACAGAGGAGGAGAGGGGAUUGCUGCACAAGCCAAUUCUGUUCUGCAAAGGGGAGGGAAUCAAGGCCAAGGAUGUGGUCACCUCCCCCUCCUCCUUGCAGCCCAGGACUCCAGUCCACCUUUCUUCGUCUCCAUCGAUCCAUCCACACAGAGGCAGAGGAGGAUAUGUCAAGAGAGCCGCCCGGAAUAUUCUCCGCCCUCGGGUCUGCCCACUGUCGCCGGGUCGGCAGCAGAUGCGCCGCCGGUCACCGGAAAGCCGGUGGAUAAGAAAAGGACCGCACUGCCGCCGGACAUUGAAACCUCGCAAGACAUUGCUCCAGAAGCUACAGUCAGUGGCCAGGAGGCCAGGG